GCCUAUGGCCAUACCACCCUGAGAAUGCCCGAUCUCGUCUGAUCUCGGAAGCUAAGCAGGGUUGGGCCCAGUUAGUACUUGGAUGGGAGACCGCCUGGGAAUACUGGGUGCUGUAGGCUAAA
rnacentral:rRNA from 1 species